rnacentral:rRNA from 1 species
GAUGAACGCUGGCGGCGUGCCUAAUACAUGCAAGUCGAGCGAACGGACGAGAAGCUUGCUUCUCUGAUGUUAGCGGCGGACGGGUGAGUAACACGUGGAUAACCUACCUAUAAGACUGGGAUAACUUCGGGAAACCGGAGCUAAUACCGGAUAAUAUUUUGAACCGCAUGGUUCAAAAGUGAAAGACGGUCUUGCUAUCACUUAUAGAUGGAUCCGCGCUGCAUUAGCUAGUUGGUAAGGUAACGGCUUACCAAGGCAACGAUGCAUAGCCGACCUGAGAGGGUGAUCGGCCACACUGGAACUGAGACACGGUCCAGACUCCUACGGGAGGCAGCAGUAGGGAAUCUUCCGCAAUGGGCGAAAGCCUGACGGAGCAACGCCGCGUGAGUGAUGAAGGUCUUCGGAUCGUAAAACUCUGUUAUUAGGGAAGAACAUAUGUGUAAGUAACUGUGCACAUCUUGACGGUACCUAAUCAGAAAGCCACGGCUAACUACGUG